CCUACGGGAGGCAGCAGUGGGGGAUAUUGGACAAUGGGGGAAACCCUGCUCCAGCGACGCCGCGUGAGUGAAGAAGUAUUUCGGUAUGUAAAGCUCUAUCAGUAGGGAAGAAAGAAAUGACGGUACCUGAGUAAGAAGCCCCGGCUAACUACGUGCCAGCAGCCGCGGUAAUACGUAGGGGGCAAGCGUUAUACGGAAUUACUGGGUGUAAAGGGAGCGUAGACGGUAAUGCAAGUCUGGAGUGAAAGGCGGGGGCCCAACCCCCGGACUGCUCUGGAAACUGUGUAACUGGAGUGCAGGAGAGGCAGGCGGAAUUCCGAGUGUAGCGGUGAAAUGCGUAGAGAUGAGGAGGAACACCAGUGGCGAAGGCGGCCUGCUGGACUGUAACUGACGUUGAGGCUCGAAAGCGUGGGGAGCAAACAGGAUUAGAUACCCGAGUAGUC
rnacentral:rRNA from 1 species